rnacentral:lncRNA from 1 species
CGACUUAAAAAAAAAAAGGGUUAAUUUCAUACAUGUUCCUGCAAAUAUAAUGAAUAGCAAAUAUAUUUCUAUAAAGUUCAACUUUCAUAUGUUGUUCUUGUAAAAGUCCUGAAGUUUUCAAAUAUAUCCUUACCAUUAGAAUCCGUUAGAAAAAAUUAGUUAACCAUAGGUUAAAUAUUUAAUCCUAGUUAGUUUUUGAUAUUUUUACCCUCCAUAUUAUGCUAUGGCUUUUGGAAGUAUAUAUUUGUGAUGCCAAAAUUGAAAAUAUAAACAGUUCUUUAACGGUAACAAACCAGAGGGAUAUAUUUGAAAAAUUAAAACUUUUGUAGAAACAACAUAUGAAAGUUGAACUUUAUGGAGAUAUAUUUGUCAUUCAUUAUGUUUGCUGGGACAUGUAUGAAAUUGACCCCCAAAAAAAAUAUAGAAUACAAAUAAGAGAUGAAUAAUACUAAUAAAAUAUAAUAAUAUAUAUAUUUAAUAUAUAUAUAUAUAUAUAAAAUAUUAAUUAUAUUGAAAUAUUAUUAUAUUUUAAUAUGAAUUAAAGUAAAUAAAAUUUUCAUUCAUAAUUCAUAUAUUUUUGAAAAUAAAAUAUCUACCGUACAUAAUUUAUGUUGUCCAAAAAUUAUAUAUAAUUUCAUCAAAAAAUCAAAAAAAUUUUAUUCGUAUAUUAUAUAUGCAUAAUAAAAUAAAAUAAUAUAAUAUAUAAUUUUUUAAUA